CAUAUUACACGUAUUUACUUUUUUAGCUUUUUUAUGCACCACCAAAAUUUUGGAGGCGAUUCAGUCACGGCAUAAACAAGUCAAAUACGAAUUCAAGCCUCCCACCCGGGAGGCUUUUUUUUU
rfam:Pseudoalteromonas ulvae strain TC14 Contig_113, whole genome shotgun sequence.